AGGGCGCUUGGCUGGGGCUGCUCGCUCGGGUUCUGCCUGUUGUCGCGCGAAAUGGCGGCUGGCGUCUUGUGCUGGGACUGUAAGGACAGGAGCGGGGACAAAGAGGAGCAACUCGUGCCUGCUUUUGUAACUGCGUCAGUCCAAGAUGGCGCAGGGUGUCCCUGGAGAGGGAAGGGAGUUGCACGUCCGCCGGAGGUCAUGUGACCGCGCUGCAUUCCUGUGGGGUUUGGCUGCGGACCAGGCUGGCUGAAGCCGUGGCGGCCGCGGAGAGUCCGCGCUGCCCUCCCCCUUCCUGCACAAUGCCGUCGGUGCUGCGUUCCUUCCCAUUUCCCGUCCCACACUCACUUCACGCAGGAGGGUGUAGCUGCCGCUGAGGAAGGCUCUCGCUUGUCUCUUCCUUCACCUUUCUCCAGGGUGUAGCUGCUCUCGGGGGAAGGUUUCCAUUCCACCCUCUCUCUCUGUAAGGCUUUACCCGCUGCAAGGGAAAGUUCAUCCUCGGCGUCCACUCGCUCCGCCCGUGCGUGGGAUCAGGCGGUGCGCGGCUCCGGCUCUGGGCCUGCCAGCGGCCGGUUGUACUCAAAUAGAUGCCACCCGCUGUUGUUCGGCUACCAUUGUCUCGUGUACGAGAGCGCUUGUCUCUGUAAGUUAGGUGCCCCGGAUCGUCGAAUCGUCCUUAGUAACUUAACGGAAGAGGUCUUUUCAAGUGAUGUUUGAGUGCCUCCAUUAAAACAGCUGAGGAAAA